rnacentral:lncRNA from 1 species
CUCGUUUAGAAAUCCUUGACUGUCCUGCACCAUCACCACAACCACCACCGCCAUCACCACCACCAUCCCCAUCAAACCACCAAUCUCCUGGCGUUCUUUACUGAGGCCCUGAGAUUCAGGCUGAGACCUGCUUCCUUACAAAAGACUUGUUUCCUUCCUAUCUGACAUAGCCCAGGUAGCAAUCACAUUUCAUAAUGUUUUUCUCCUUUUGUUCUCAGGUGUUCUAAGCCGGCUCCCCGCAGCGCACAUCAACAGUAGAACACCUGGGGCGGACCUGGCUCCCAGACCAUCAGGAGAGACUUGCCAACCAGCUUGCUUAGGAUGUCUCCGUAGUGGAAAUUCUGGGACUGGGGCCUGUUUGGAAACACCAGAGAUAGUUCAGUUCAGUUCAGUCGCUGAGUCAUGUCUGACUCUUUGCGAACCAAUGAACCGCAGCAUGCCAGGCCUCCCUGUCCAUCCCCAACUCCCGGAGUCCACCCAAACCCAUGUCCAUUGAGUCGGUGAUGCCAUACAACAAUCUCAUCUGGAGACCCCCACCCAAAAAAAAUAGCAUCGGUGCUUCCUUUUAGAACAAGACAGAAAAGCACAUAUAUCAUUUUAAAGAAGCUGAGCUUUGGACUGGUCGAGAGAGGAGAUGGUGGGGAAGAGCCCCUUUCUUACUGAGCGUAUGUUGGCUUGUUUUGUCACUCAUAAUUGGAAAAAGCUCUGUUGCCCUCCUUCUGCCAAGGUGUUCCCUGCAUAACCUGGGUUCCAGUAAAAGCGCCGAAUGCAUGCAGUGUAAGAAGUCCUUCCUUCACUCUAUCUUUUCAAUCACAAAGUAUGUUGAUUCACUAAAGUCCAGACUUUUUGCUGGCACCACCUUGACCUCCGCUGCCCUACUUUGGCCUCUCAUGAUCGCCUCCAUAAAAGCCACAGAAAGACUUUUUCACACGUUGACGUCAAGCACCCGCACACACGUUGGGCGGUGGUCUGCUAACAGCCCAGAGCCUUGGUCUGCCUCCAUGCCAGGCUGCAGUGUCAGGGCCCGCUCCUUCCUGCUACACUCCAACAUUCCUCAUAGCUGGAAGAAGUUAUCUGCAGGCCAACCGAGAAGACAACAUCGCUCCUCUCCUACCUCCGUGGAAUGUGCCCCGGCAAUCACUCCAAACAGAAAUAGAAUGUGAAUUAAGCAGAGAUGUUAUAGUGAAAGGAUCAGGCAAUUGAAAAUCAGAAGAAAUGGAUUGCAAGCCUGGCUAUGGUGCUUAAGACCUUAUAAAAAGGAGCAAGUCAUUUGGCGAGAGGCAAGAUAAGAGAAGACAGAAUAGCAAGAGAAAGAGAAAAGGACCGUAAUAAAAUUCAAGUAAAAUUGAGAACUUGCA